rnacentral:rRNA from 1 species
CUGAACCAGCCAAGUAGCGUGAAGGAUGACUGCCCUAUGGGUUGUAAACUUCUUUUAUACGGAAAUAAAGUGAGCCACGUGUGGCUUUUUGUAUGUACCGUAUGAAUAAGGAUCGGCUAACUCCGUGCCAGCAGCCGCGGUAAUACGGAGGAUCCGAGCGUUAUCCGGAUUUAUUGGGUUUAAAGGGAGCGUAGGCGGACGCUUAAGUCAGUUGUGAAAGUUUGCGG